UACGGAGGGGCUAGCGUUGUUCGGAAUUACUGGGCGUAAAGCGCACGUAGGCGGCUAUUCAAGUUAGAGGUGAAAGCCCGGAGCUUAACUCCGGAACUGCCUUUAAGACUGCAUCGCUAGAAUCGUGGAGAGGUGAGUGGAAUUCCGAGUGUAGAGGUGAAAUUCGUAGAUAUUCGGAAGAACACCAGUGGCGAAGGCGACUCACUGGACACGGUAUUGACGCUGAGGUGCGAAAGCGUGGGGAGCAAACAGG
rnacentral:rRNA from 1 species